rnacentral:rRNA from 1 species
GAUGAACGCUGGCGGCGUGCUUAACACAUGCAAGUCGAACGGAAAGGCCCAAGCUUGCUUGGGUACUCGAGUGGCGAACGGGUGAGUAACACGUGGGUGAUCUGCCCUGCACUUCGGGAUAAGCCUGGGAAACUGGGUCUAAUACCGGAUAGGACGAUGGUUUGGAUGCCAUUGUGGAAAGUUUUUUCGGUGUGGGAUGAGCUCGCGGCCUAUCAGCUUGUUGGUGGGGUAAUGGCCUACCAAGGCGUCGACGGGUAGCCGGCCUGAGAGGGUGUACGGCCACAUUGGGACUGAGAUACGGCCCAGACUCCUACGGGAGGCAGCAGUGGGGAAUAUUGCACAAUGGGCGCGAGCCUGAUGCAGCGACGCCGCGUGGGGGAUGACGGCCUUCGGGUUGUAAACUCCUUUCGCUAGGGACGAAGCGUUUUUGUGACGGUACCUGGAGAAGAAGCACCGGCUAACUACGUG